rnacentral:rRNA from 1 species
AUACGGAGGGUCCAAGCGUUAUCCGGAAUCAUUGGGUUUAAAGGGUCCGCAGGCGGUCAAUUAAGUCAGAGGUGAAAGCCCAUCGCUCAACGAUGGAACUGCCUUUGAUACUGGUUGACUUGAGUUAUACGGAAGUAGAUAGAAUAAGUAGUGUAGCGGUGAAAUGCAUAGAUAUUACUUAGAAUACCGAUUGCGAAGGCAGUCUACUACGUAUAUACUGACGCUGAGGGACGAAAGCGUGCGGAGCGAACAGGAUUAGAAACCCGAGUAGUCC